UACGGAGGGAGCUAGCGUUGUUCGGAAAUACUGGGCGUAAAGCGCACGUAGGCGGCGCAGCAAGUCAGGGGUGAAAUCCCGGGGCUCAACCCCGGAACUGCCCUUGAAACUGCAGUGCUAGAAUCUUGGAGAGGCGAGUGGAAUUCCGAGUGUAGAGGUGAAAUGCGUAGAUAUUCGGAAGAACACCAGUGGCGAAGGCGACUCGCUGGACAAGUAUUGACGCUGAGGUGCGAAAGCGUGGGGAGCAAACAGG
rnacentral:rRNA from 1 species